UACGUAGGGUGCAAGCGUUGUCCGGAAUUACUGGGCGUAAAGGGCUCGUAGGCGGCCAACUAAGUCGGACGUGAAAUCCCUCAGCUUAACUGGGGAACUGCGUCUGAGACUGGAUAGCUUGAGUGCAGGAGAGGAACGCGGAAUUCCAGGUGUAGCGGUGAAAUGCGUAGAUAUCUGGAGGAACACCGGUGGCGAAGGCGGCGUUCUGGACUGCAACUGACACUGAGGAACGAAAGCCAGGGGAGCAAACGGG
rnacentral:rRNA from 1 species